rnacentral:lncRNA from 1 species
CUUCUUUCAUGACAUCACAUACCACCACUCGCGUGAUCCGAGAUGCCUCUUGAAGGUAAAGAGGGAAAGAAAAAAUAUGAUGCUAGGAUCAAUCCCAGUCAAUACGCACACUACAGUAAAACCGCAGAUAUGCCGCUAUGAAUUCAGGACUACCAAACUCGAUGACAUUUCAAAAAAUUGAAAAAGAGCUAUAAGGAUCAAGGGGAAGUCUCAGCUCAGCCUGGAAGCAUUCCUCAUAUAGGCUCAUCCGAUCUGGGGGAGGUUGGCAAACUCGAUCGUUCGACGCCAUGAUUUUCAAUUGAAAUGCCGGAGGGAUCUAAAACUGCUCAUAGAACAGUACCUCAUCCCUUUCCGUUAGCUCGGACUGAAAUUCCAAUGGGGCGAUGUCGGAGUCUCCAGAACCCAUUCCCUUCAUAGUAAAAGAAAGCUCUAAAGUGAAAGACAAAGAAGAAGAACCUAUGGCAAAACAAAAAGAUAAUCGAAAACCCUAGAAGCCUGUCUCAUCUGGGGUUUAAAUAAAUCUAAACUCAAAAGAUCUCCAAAUGACACUUUCUCACAAAGCAUUAACGACAGCAGGCAUGACUGACGAGGUUUUAAUAGAUGCUUGACGUGUGGCAGUCACCAAUCAAAUACAGCUCCUGCCGCUGAUAUGAUAGUUAAUGCC